rnacentral:rRNA from 1 species
GAUGAACGCUGGCGGCGUGCUUAACACAUGCAAGUCGAACGGUAAGGCCCCUUCGGGGGUACACGAGUGGCGAACGGGUGAGUAACACGUGGGCAAUCUGCCCCUCACACCGGGAUAACUCGGGGAAACCCGAGCUAAUACCGGAUACUUCGUCGAGGUCGCAUGGCCAUGACGAGAAAGCUCCGACGGUGAGGGAUGAGCCCGCGGCCCAUUAGCUUGUUGGUGAGGUAACGGCUCACCAAGGCGACGAUGGGUAGCCGAGCUGAGAGGCUGAUCGGCCACACUGGGACUGAGACACGGCCCAGACUCCUACGGGAGGCAGCAGUGGGGAAUCUUGCGCAAUGGCGAAAGCCUGACGCAGCAACGCCGCGUGCGGGAUGAAGGCUCUCGGGUCGUAAACCGCUUUCAGCAGGGAUGAAACUGACAGUACCUGCAGAAGAAGCCCCGGCUAAAUACGUGCCAGCCGCCGCAGUAAUAC